GGAAUCCUAAGAGGCUUUGCAAGGUCAUGUCAGCUUGUUGCUUCCUUCUCUUUCCCUGAGGUUGAGUGAUUGGAGAGACAGCUCAAGGUCUGGCCAGUGCUGCUCUUCUAAUGGACGGCUGCGGCCACUCGAUCCUUAUCAUUCACUGAAAUCGAAUGAACUAAACACCUGAAGUGGCCUGGUUUUAUCGCAAGUCCAAAAGUUUGCCAGGUGGGCUUCAGGAGUGCUGGGUUUUGACUUUCAGAGAAGCAGAUGAGCUUGCUGACUGCUUCUAGAGCUCUCUGAUUUUGCCUCAGAUUUGCAACAGCUACAGCUUUUUAACUGAUUUUUAAUCUACCUUCAAUAUUGACACAGCGUUUUUCUUGCUCUGCUUACAAAGCUUGACCUAUGGACAAUAUGAAAUGCAGGACUAUAGGACCACACUGACAAUUCUUUGUCUGUGUUCUCUCCUAAACCCCCUCCCCUCAGUUCUAUGGCCUUUGUGAGACAAUAAGACAUAGGAACAGAAUUAGACAGAAUUAGGCCAUUCAGCCCAUCGUGUCUGAUCCAUUAUUCACUAUGGCUGAUCUUAUAUCCUUCAUAACCCCAUUCUCCUGCCUUCUUCCCAUAAUCUUUAACGGUCUUACUAAUCACAGACCUAUCAAUCUUCACUUUAAAUAUACCCAAUGACUUGGCCUCCACAGUCUUCUGUGGCAAUGAAUUCCACAGAUUCUUUAUGAAGAAAGGACUGCGUUCUUUCCCCCUACCUCUUCCCACAAGCUAUUGGGGCGCCAUGGCCGCGUAGUGGUUAACAUAACGUUACGACAGCUGAGGGUGUUGGAGUUCAAUUCCAAUGCCGUCUGCAGGGAGUUUGUACGUUCUCCCCUUGACCACGUGGGUUUCCUCCAGGUGUUCCGGUUUCCUGCCAGAGUCCAAACAACAUAGCAGUUAACAGGUUAAUUGGUCACUCUAAAUUGUCUCCUGUGAUUAGGCUAGGGUUAAAUAGUCACUGGGUGGCGUGGCUCAUUGGACCAGAAGGACCUGUUCUACACUGUAUCUCUAAAUCAGUAAAUAAAUAACCAAGCAAGCAAAUGACCUCAUGAACAGUUAUCUCCAUGAGACAGCCCUGGCCGCAUCCCAAAGAGAAAUUUUCCCAAAAUGUUUUUAAAUUUAACAUUUACAGACAGCUCCGUGGAUCACCGUAGCAAUGAAAGAGUUUGCAGCGUUUUGGUUGUAUGAUGCUUUAUUGGAGAGGAUGGAACAAGGAGGGAUGUUUUAACAGAAGCUCUCAUCUACUCAAAGUGCAUUAGAACUUCCUACAGGUUGCUGAUGCUGUAUUAGCAUUACACUAACUACUAUACUACGGUGCUGCCCAAUGGACUAUGGAUCGUGAAGGUUAUGGAAUAUGAAGAGUCUAACUUAGUUGGGUUGAGUUGUUCUCUGGUGCUGACAAUCCAUUUGCAAACUUUUUGUCACCAUAAAAGGAGACAUCAUCCGUGCGCUGUUGAACAACUCAACCAAACCUUCAACCACCCGAGCAUUUUCCGAGUUAUUUCUGACAGUCUUACUUAGAUCCCAAAUAUGUAAAGCACCUCCCAGGACCGUUUUGAAGAAGUGCAGAGAAGUUGUGCAUGAUGUGCUGGCCAAUACUUAUCGCUGAUGUACUAAAAACAACGUAACUGUGAGAGAUUGCCUUGUCAUGUACAAAAUGACCGCCACACCUCAUUUAAAACCAAAACAAAAACAUUGCAAGGAACUUAUCAGCUGUACAUGCUUCAGGACAUCUGAACAAAACCAUAUGGUUUGAAUUCAUUCUACAUCCCUUCCAUUAUUUAGUAAAUGGAGUGCCUUCCUGCAGCAGCAAAACAAACGUGUUGGGAGAUUCAGCUUAAGUGAUAGCUAGGCGUACAAAGUGAUUGUCCUAUGGUGCUACAGUACUGUUGUUCACACCUGUUGACUUCAAAAGCACAGAUUUUCAGCAGCAAACAACAAUGCAACGCCACUACUAAGAUGAUUCUGAUCAUAAAUCAGCAAGGAUGAAUUUCUACCACAUUGAAAGCUUCAUAUUAAGAAAAUUAAAAGCUCCUUGAAGAUGUUUUGCAUACUAUGGAGGCCAGUACCCAUGAUGGGUCUGAUUAAUUUUACAACUCUCUGCAACUUACUUUGAUGCUGUGCAGUAGUUCCCCCACCCCACCACCACCCCCCACCAUAACAAACAGUGAUGCAGUCAGUCAGAAUGCUCUCCACGGUACAUCUGUAGGAAUUUGCAAGUGUUUUUGGAGAUUUAUCAAAAGGGGGAGAAGAUGGCGGCGUGACGGUAGCACGCGCGGCCACUUCGGUGGUGAUGUCUGUUAUCUGUCAAGUAGGGGACCAUGCACAAUUCUGAUUUGAUGGAGACAUACAUGAGAGUACAGAGGAACAUCUGGAAAACUUCUGAAAUGCCCACUUCGUUGCCGCUGCUACUGUGUGGUCCAGAAUCUCUGGAGCAGAAGGCCCCGAAAUCCUCAGCUUUGCUUGUUUCAGCGGCCGGGGCGAGAUCGAAGGCGCUCGAGAGGCUGUAUCGGAAGGGCUCCUGUACGCCUUCUCGUCACCAUCGGAGGUUCUGCCAACCCUGUUUCUCCAAACGUGCCAGAGAGCUUACUGAGUACAUUCAGCAUGUUCUUUGCAGUCAUAGCUGAUCUGAAUUUUGGUCUUAACUCCCUAUGUUAUCUGCUCCUCAUAGCCUUUAAUGCCAUCUAAUUCAGAGUUGCAUCAAAGGCUUAAAUGUAAUUGGUGACUCAACAUCCAUAGUUUCUGAAAACAGAAAGUUCCAGGGAUUCUCAAACUUAACAGAGAAAACUGUCCUUUUCACUCUAGGACAAGCAGUUGACAGUUUAAAUUAUAGACUAUGCCUCCUCUUACAACACACCUACCAAGGAAAAUAUCCUCACAACAUCUAACUUGUCACAAUCUUGGUUUAAAGAGACAAUGUCUCAGUCUAUUAGUGUUGCUUUACCAAGCUGUCAAUUUCUUUCAACAGUGUAGGUGUUUCAGUCAGCAUCAAUUCUUCCAAAUUAAUCCAAUACAUGGUAGAAUUCAUUAUCCCUUAUUUGCAUCUUAAACUUCCUUUCUACGAGGAUCGCCAUCUUAUCAUGGAGGAGAGUUCUGUGAGUUCCUGAGAUCCCAUGAGCGACGCCAUCUGGACUUUAGUCAUCCGCUGCUUCAUUCCUGAUCGGGUCACCCAGGGUGGUAAGGGUGACAAAGAGUGAUCCAACCAAGACCUCAACGGUGGAGCAGACGGAUGAUGGUGAUACGUCACAACAAAAGUGAAGGUGGAGGAAGGCUCCAGCAAUGAAAGGUCCCCAGUUGUCUUGCAAAACACAACACUGAACCCUGACUCCAGUCUGUCAAGGACGGUGUGGUGACUGUCCGUGCAUCAGCCUCCCCACUUUAAACAAAAUCACAAACAGGCAUUCUUCAUUCAGGGAAUCCACCCUUCUCCAUUUUACACUUGCGCCUCCAGGUCUUGAUGAACUGACUGCUGAAAGGAACUCGCUGAGCUCUGAAAAUGAACAUCCAACUGUUACCAUAUACCUCUUAAGGCAAAAAUAAAAAGCACCAGUUCUACAACUAACGUAAGCCUCAGAAAUUUCAGGCAAAUUGUGUAAGCUAUAACGUUCAGUAACACAAUUUUCAUGGCAUCAAAUUUGCUUGGCUGAUGGAGUCCACUCUGAAAAUGCAGCUAAGCAGCUUGAAGUCAUGCACCCCACACCUCAGCUGACAUUUGAGGAAACAAACUGCUAUUUUUAAAGCUACGGCAAUUUUUUGAUACAAUUUCACCGGAGGUCACGCAAUUAUACAGCACCAUCACAAAGGGGGGGGGGGGUGGCACCUGAAAACACACGCUGGUCUGAACUAAUCAUUUUAACUCCCACCAUUCAGCAACACAGCUGCACUGGAGAUGUUUAAUCUGUGCAGAUGUCCUGAUUUUAUAACCAACUGCCAAGCAAUUUUUAAUUUAGUGCCAUUCCAAAGGCACAUUUUCUGAUUCGGUCCAUGAAAAUAAAGCAUUUGGGGAAUUCUGCCUUACAAGUUACGUGGUAAUGAGAAGCUUGAGUUAUCUAAAUUCAUGUAAUUAAUGGUCUGCAUGUUAUACUUUACAAAAAUAAUAACUUCCAUUUAUGUUACGUAUGUAUUUAGCAAGUCAAAAAUAUCCCAAGGUAUUUCAUGGGACUGUUAUCAAGUAAAACACUGAAAAUCAAGCCAGAAAAAAUAAACAUCCAGGCAGUUGACCAAAUAUGUAGGCAAAUUCCACAGUUUACGGCUUAGAUUGUCAAAAUAGCCGUAAUUAAAACCAUGAACAGACUUGGGGCAGGAGCACAGUUCCUCAAAGCAUUAUAGGAAUACAGAUUCAGUCAAAGUCUAAUGUUAAUUGCUGUGUAAUUAGGUAAAUGUAAACUUUGUGCAUUUAAUGUGACCUUCCAGUCACACUCUUUAUCAAGUCACCACAAUUGCCAAUCUCCAAUUAAGUCAAUAAACGUUUGCCCCAACAUAAAGACAACAUAACUGCUGUCCAUCUGCUAGACUCAUAUAAAGAGAUCAUAACCAUAGUUAAUAAUGAGUUAGUAAAACAGCACGUCAAUAAAUACUUAUUUCAUUGGUGACUGCUGGGACCAGGAAAGCACGAACCCAUCACCUUUGCCAACAGUACAAAGCCAUCUAUCACGCACUAUUUCUUAGUCAAACGAACGUUGACAGAUGACUCAAAUAAAAUGAUCACAUGCUCCCCAAAAAAACUGCAAGGAGGAUUAUUUGUUUUCCAAAAGACCUGAAUGAUUUGCUAAAUCAGUCUCUCAUGCACAAGCCCUUCCCAGAUUACCCCAGGAUUCCAGUCAUAGAUUCACAGGGAAGUACAGCACAGAAACAGACCAUUUGGCCCAUCCAGUCCAUUUAAAAGCAUUUAAAUGGCCUACUCUCAUCGACCUGCACUGGGGCCAUAGCCCUCCAUACCCCUCCCAUCCAUGUAUCUAUCCAAACCUCGUUUAAACAUUGAAAUCAAGCUCACAUGCACCACUUGUACCGUCAGCUUGUUCCAUAUUCUCAUGACCCUCUGACUGAAGUUUCCCCUCAAGUUCGCUUUAAACUUUUCACCUUUCACACUUAACUCAAGACUUCUGGUUGUAGUCCCACCCAAACUCAGUGGGAAAAAGCAUUUAGCCUGUCUAUACCUCUCAUAAUUUUGUAUACCUCUAUGAAAUCUCCUUACAAAAGUGCAGAGAGAGAUUUACAAGAAUCUUGCCUGGAUUGGAGAGUGUGCCCUAUGAGAAUAGGUUGAGUCAACUUGGUCUUUUCUCCUUGGAGAGACAGAGGAUGAGAGGUGACCUGAUAGAGGUGUAUAAGAUGAGAGGCAUUGAUCGUAUGGAUAGCCAGAGGCUUUUUCCCAGGGCUGAAAUGGCUAACAUAACGGGGCAUAGUUUUAAGGUGCUUGGAAGUAGGUACAAGGAGGAUGUCAGAGGUAAGUUUUUCCACACAGAGUGGUGGGGGGGUGAGGGGGGAUGGAAUGCACCGCCAGUGACAGUGGUAGAGGCGGAUACAACAGGGUAUUUUGAGACUCUUAGAUGGGUAAAUAGAGGGCUAUGCAGAAGGAAAAUUCUAAGCAGUUUCUAGAGUAGGUUACAUGGUCAGCACAACAUUGUGGGACAAAGGGCCUGUAAUGUGCUGUAGAUUUCUAUGUCCUAUGUUCAAUCUUCUACAUUCUAAGGAAUAAAGUCCAAGCCUAUUCAAUCUUUCCAUAUAACCCAGGUCACCCAGAUUUUUUUUUGUAAUUUUUCUCUGUAUUCUUUCAACCUUACUUACAUCUUUUCUGGUAGGUGACCAAAACUGCAUACAAUGCUGCAAAUUAGGCCUCACCAUUGACUUUUACAACUUCAACAUAAUAUCCCAAAUCCUGUACACAAUACUUUGAUUUAUGAAGCCCAAUGUGUCAAAACCUUUCUUUAUGUCCCUAUCUACCUGUGAUGCCACUUUCAAUGAAUUAUGGACUUAUAUUCUCGAUCCCUUUGUUCUAAUACACUCUUCACUGUGUAAGACCUAGCUCGUUUCGUCCUCCCGAAGGGCAACACCUCGCAUUUGUCUGCAUUAAAUUCUAUCUGCCAUUUUUCAACCCAUUUUUCCAGGUGAUCCAGAUCUCUCUGCAAGCCAAACUUGGUGUCAUCCACAAGUUCCUGUGAACUGUUCAUAACCCAAACAGUGUAAACGAGUUCCCACCAGGCAGGAGAUGCCUGCAAGCCGUUGUAGCUGGCAAAUCUGUCUCAAUGGUCUCUCAAACAUUCAACCUUUAGUAUGGGACCCAUUGUAGCUGGCAAAUCCAGCCCAAUGGUCUUCCAAACAUUCAACCUUACGUAUGGGCUGUAAAUAAAGUGUAAGGAUUUCUUCUUUUAUGUUACUGCUAAGAUGAAUAAAAUGGCUUCUCUGUACUGUUAUCUGCUGAGACAGUGGAUCUCUAUAGCAGUAUGUUUGGAUUAUAAUUAGUGAUAUUGGGACUUGUAUUCAUUUGUUAGCCAAUUGGGAUAGAUGUUAUUCUUUCUGUCUGUGUGAAAGCUGUUAGUUGCGCGGGCUUUGGAGAGAAGGCGCGAGGAGGAUGAAGAGAGAAGACGUGGCUUGAGGAGACGGUUGCUGGAUCCGCUGGGCCUGGGCUCGGGGAGGGAGCCCAGGGGUCGAAGACGAGCAAAGGAGGAUCAGCGACAGGGAAUCUGUGAGCUCCAACGUUUGUGCACUGGACACGUUUAUGAGAUUAUUGGCGGCUUUUAUUUGUUUUCCUUUUCUUUUAUUCUCUACUCACCCCAUACUUAAAUAUAAAAUCUUACUCGUUUAACCGCACAUUGUGGACUGAAUGUUAUUUCGGGGUACUGAUGUUACACAGGAGACACAACAUACAGCAUCCACCUAAACUUGAUUACCCAGUUUGGCAGGGCCGAAGGCUGCUCUCCCCAGACGGAAGCGAGCUGAGCGAGCCUGAGGCUUACCGGGAGGCUACAAAAGUGUGUAAAUGUUUGCUGGUGAGGACCUGUAUAUCUCGGUUAACUGCAACUUAAAUAGUUUUUGAUGGAUUCAUUUGCUCUUAAAUGCCCUUCUUGUGAGAAGGAAUUGGAAUAGGUUUACUGUCA